rnacentral:rRNA from 1 species
GAGUUUGAUUAUGGCUCAGGACGAACGCUGGCGGCGUGCCUAAUACAUGCAAGUCGAACGAACGGAGAAAGAAGCUUGCUUUUUUCAAAGUUAGUGGCGAACGGGUGAGUAACACGUGGGUAACCUGCCCAUCAGAGGGGGAUAACAUUCGGAAACGGAUGCUAAAACCGCAUAGGUUCCUUAGUUGCAUGACUGAGGAAGGAAAAGAGGCGUAAGCUUCUGCUGGUGGAUGGACCCGCGGUGCAUUAGCUAGUUGGUGAGGUAACGGCUCACCAAGGCGAUGAUGCAUAGCCGACCUGAGAGGGUGAUCGGCCACAUUGGGACUGAGACACGGCCCAAACUCCUACGGGAGGCAGCAGUAGGAAAUCUUCCGCAAUGGACGCAAGUCUGACGGAGCAACGCCGCGUGAGUGAAGAAGGUUUUCGGAUCGUAAAACUCUGUUGUUAGAGAAGAAUAAGCAUAAUAGUAACUGAUUAUGCCGUGACGUUCAACNGAGCCG